CCCGCACUGCCAUCGCGCCCUCCAUGUCGCAACGCGCCGCAGGAAGAUGGCGGAUUUACGACCGUGUCGUCAUAACAACGGGCCGCGCUGAGGCGAGCGAGAGAACGACGAAUAGACCAUGAUGGGAUGGGUCCAGGGUGUCAGAACCUCUCUUGAUGGUUGCCCAGGUCCUAGGAGAAGAACCGAGUUUGAGAUGGCUAACGGGUAGCUUCUCUAAGCCUUUUAUUCUUUUGUAUGGUUUUUAAGUACACAUAAAAUUUAUCAUUAGUGACAGCACAUUCACAAUGUUGUACAACCAUCAUCACCAUCGGAACAAUGUCAUUCCAAAAGAAAACCUGUACCCAUUAGCAGUCACUCCCCAUUCUCCACUCACCCCAGCCCCUGGCAAACACUUUCCAUCUCUGUGGAUUUACCUUUUCUGGACAUUUCAUAUAAAUAGAUUUACACAUGUGGUCUUUCACAUCUGGCUUCUUUUGUUUAGCAUAAUGUUUUCAAGGUUCAUCCAGGUUGUAGCAUGUAUCAGUACUUAAUUUUUAUGGAUGAAUCGUAUUCCAUAAUAUGGGUAAAUCAUAAUUUAGUUAUCCAUUCAUAUAUUUGGUUUUCCACCUUUUCUACUAUUGUGAAUAGUGCUGCCAUGAACAUGCUCAGACAAGUUCCUUUUAUUCUUUUUAAGGUAAUAUUCAAUUAGAUCUUUUAAGCUAAAUGCUUUACAGGAUUUUCUCGUUGAAGGUACCAAUCAUGGCAUUUUAAAGACGAAGAAACUGAAGCAAAGAACUGAUAGGACACUUGCUCAAGGGCAAACUGGAGACUUUAACCCAAGUCUUUCCAGAGUAAUGGGCUGGAAACACACAAGGCAUGCUUUUUCAGCUGAGUUAUUCUCUCCAGUCAAAUGUUGGAUACCAGAGGCUCAAGUGGAUCAGACCUGGUCCCCUCCAGGAAGUCCAAACACAGACACAAAGUCCCAGGCUGAGAUUGUCUCCAUGUUGGGGCUGCCCAGCCGGGGAACUGAGGACCCUUGGCCUUGCAGGAGCUGGGAUGUGUGAGGCAUAGAUCAGAUCACUGGCGAUCAGGCUAGGUUAACAAUAGGGCUGCUUUCUGCAGGGGACUUGCUCACCAUUGAAGGAGUGACAGUCAGCAUUUCAGAAGGACCCCUUUGAUUCCUGUGCAGAAAAAGGACCUUAGAGCCACAACUGAGGCAGGAAGAUACAGGAUGGAUGGUCUCUGAGAGAGACAAACAGGAGGAGGAGCAAGUGGUGGCUUGUAGAGCAUGUGGUAUCUGGGGCACUUCUGGGAAGAAAGGAAUAGGAGGAUACCUCAUUUGAGGAUGUGCUGAGGAAUAAUGGGGAAGCCAGCAUCAGAGUAGAGGAAGCCACCCAGAGGACUGGAGUGGGAAAGGAUUUCAAAGGCAGGACAGCCUGGGUGUGAGCAGACACGAGGAAGAGCUGUCCCAGGGAGAGAGCCUGCUCUGCUGUGUGCUCCAGGGUCUGUGGGACAGAGUUGUUGGGCAGGCCAGGGUUCCUGCCUGGUUUAUGCCUUUGGGGUCAGAAAAGAGCAUCCUGACCAGUGAGUUCUGGGCCUUGUCUUAGCUGGAGCCCAAGAAGACCAGCAGACACAAGAGUAGACAGGCCUGAGGUCACUGGAAGGCAGAAUGGCCAGGGGCAGAUAGGGAGACCAGAGUCCUCCUUCUCCCAGAUGGCCUCCUUUUUCACCCUGCCCUCAGUAUGGGAUCUAACUGCACACUGUGUGUUUUAUAAUCAAUACUAUGUUUACUUUCUGUGGCCAGAGCCAGAAGUGCACUCUAUCACCUUUUAUGAUGGCUGCUCAGUCUCCAUUCCUUGAGUAUACUUUUAUUUAACCAAUCCCAUGUUGAAGAAUAUUUAGGUUGCAUCCAAUUUUUUUUACCACUUGAGUCCUUUUUCAAUGACUCCCAUUUUUGCUUAGCUCAUCAGAAGUGAUAAAUCUGUAAAAACUCAGAUUCAAUGGGUACUUGUGUUUUUUCAUACAAUUUAAAUACAUGCAAUGCUAUUAAGAUUAAAUAGUGUCAUUCUUGUACCACCUAUAUCCAUGCCCCAUUUUACUUGCAGUACUGCUUCCUCGUUUGGGGGGGACCCUUUCGCCAUCCAUUUGCAGGUAAAACUGAGCACCUACUGUGUGUUGGGAAUGCAUCGUGUUUGUGAUGUGCUCCUCUCCCAUCUAGAUUCAGGGCACCUCACCCAAGGUCAGUCCUCCCCAAUAAAGGGCACCAGCCCUUCCUGCCUUCUCCAGGAACUGGUUCACGACCAACUUGUCUCGAUACUGACCAUUCCAUCUCUCCCACUAUGCCAUCUCAGUCCCUAUAACCUACAAGGGAUGUUAAACUUAACAAAUGCAGCAGAGCUCAGUUUUGAGGUCAGCUGAGUUUAAUCCCAACUCUGCAACUGUGUUGUCCAGCUAGUGACUCUCUGUGGCUCAGUUUCCUCAUCUAUAAAUGGAGAUACUAAUAGCCCCUACCUCUCAGGGCUGUCCUGUGAUUACGACAAGGUAAUGCAGGUUAAGGAGCAGCACUCAGCGCCUAGAUGUUGACUGAGUGCCCAGUAAACCAAGGUAACCUGGCAAGUAUCGUACAAACCAGCCCAUGGCUGGACAAUAGCAGUGUCUCCCAUUCUGACCAAUGUACCACAUACACUGCAUGUUUCUGGGAGGUUAAAGCAGGGUUUGUGAUCUUUUGUCAAAUUCAGUUCUUCCCAAAGUCAGCUUCAUCACCAAAACUGAGUAGGAAGACACAGGGAGGAAGGUGUUCCCUUCUUCGGUGGUGGGUGCACCAAGCAGUAACACUUUGCAUGCCCUUGUGGGCUAUGGCCCUGUCUUUCAGGGGUUCCCAGCAGAGACUAACAGAAACAAGCUGUAUGUAAACAAGCAGGACCCUACGGAAACUGAGGUCACUGGCUUUACCUCAUGGGCUUGAGGGUGGGGUGGAGGUCCAGAGAAGACUUCAUGGAGACCUGGGACCCAAGAGAGGAGCAGGAGUUUGACACACUACAGUUUGGGGCUCUGGGUAGCUUGGCACGGGGCAGGUUCUCAGGAAGCUGGGGUCUGUUGUUUUGCCACUUAGCCAUAUUGAAAGUAAUAACGAUAAACAUGCACCUACCCUAUGAACCAAUCAGUGAUUCCACUCCUAAGUACAAACCCAAAAGAAAUGAGUGCCUAUUUCCACAAGUGAGUAUGUAGGAAGGAGAACGUUCAUAAGGGGCAUUUUUACAGUAGCCCCAAAGUGGAAACAAUCCAAAUGUCCAUCAACUGGAGAAGAGAUCAACAGGAGUAUAUUCUUACAUUGGCCCAGGUGGCAAUUAAAACAAAAACACUAAGAAGGACACAUUUCACAAACAUUAUGUUGCUCCAAAGAAGCAAGACCCAGAAGAGUACACACAGUAAGAUCCUUUUUUUUUUUUUUAAAUCAGAUUUUUAAGAUGGUCUAGAACAGGCAAAGGAGGCUAUAACUCAUUCCAUGGUGAUAAAAGUCAGAGAUAGUUAAGGGAGGAGUGUCCACUAUUGACUGGAUAGGAAGGCAUGUAAGGGACCUUUCCAGAGUGAUGGAAAUAGUCUGUAUCUUGAUCUGGGUUGUGUUUACACAGGCGUAUAAGUAUGUAAAAGUCCAUCAAGCUGCAUACUUAAGAUUUAUGCAUUUUACUGUAUGCUAUUCCUCAAUAAAAAGUAACGAUAACCUAA